rnacentral:rRNA from 1 species
CCCCUAGUAACUGCGAGUGAAGCGGGAAAAGCUCAAAUUUAAAAUCUGGCAGUCUCUGGCUGUCCGAGUUGUAAUCUAGAGAAGUGUUAUCCGCGCUGGACCAUGUACAAGUCUCCUGGAACGGAGCGUCAUAGAGGGUGAGAAUCCCGUCUUUGACAUGGACUACCAGGGCUUUGUGAUGCGCUCUCAAAGAGUCGAGUUGUUUGGGAAUGCAGCUCAAAAUGGGUGGUAAAUUCCAUCUAAAGCUAAAUAUUGGCGAGAGACCGAUAGCGAACAAGUACCGUGAGGGAAAGAUGAAAAGAACUUUGGAAAGAGAGUUAAACAGUACGUGAAAUUGUUGAAAGGGAAACGCUUGAAGUCAGUCGCAUUGGCCAGGGAUCAACCUUACAUUUGUUGGGUGUACUUUCUGGUCAAUGGGUCAGCAUCAAUUUUGACUGUUGGAAAAAGGUCAGGGGAAUGUAGCAUCUUCGGAUGUGUUAUAGCCCUUGGUUGUAUACAGCAGUUGGGAUUGAGGAACUCAGCACGCCGCAAGGCCGGGUUUUUAACCACGUACGUGCUUAGGAUGCUGGCAUAAUGGCUUUAAUCGACCCGUCUUGAAACACGGACCAAGGAGUCUAACAUGCCUGCGAGUGUUUGGGUGGAAAACCCAUGCGCGUAAUGAAAGUGAAAGUUGAGAUCUCUGUCGUGGAGAGCAUCGACGCCCGGACCAGACCUUUUGUGACGGUCCCGCGGUAGAGCAUGUAUGUUGGGACCCGAAAGAUGGUGAACUAUGCCUGAAUAGGGUGAAGCCAGAGGAAACUCUGGUGGAGGCUCGUAGCGAUUCUGACGUGCAAAUCGAUCGUCGAAUUUGGG